rnacentral:rRNA from 1 species
AUUGAACGCUGGCGGCAUGCCUUACACAUGCAAGUUGAACGGUAACAGGUCUUCGGGUGCUGACGAGUGGCGAACGGGUGAGUAAUACAUCGGAACGUGCCUAGUAGUGGGGGAUAACUACUCGAAAGAGUGGCUAAUACCGCAUGAGAUCUACGGAUGAAAGCAGGGGAUCGCAAGACCUUGUGCUACUAGAGCGGCCGAUGGCAGAUUGGGUAGUUGGUGGGAUAAAAGCUUACCAAGCCGACGAUCUGUAGCUGGUCUGAGAGGACGAUCAGCCACACUGGGACUGAGACACGGCCCAGACUCCGACGGGAGGCAGCAGUGGGGAAUUUUGGACAAUGGGCGCAAGCCUGAUCCAGCAAUGCCGCGUGCAGGAUGAAGGCCUUCGGGUUGUAAACUGCUUUUGUACGGAACGAAAAGCCCUGGGUUAAUACCCUGGGGUCAUGACGGUACCGUAAGAAUAAGCACCGGCUAACUACGUGCCAGCCGCCGCCGUAACAC